AUGCAGUCGAGCGAACAGACGAGGAGCUUGCUCCUCUGACGUUAGCGGCGGACGGGUGAGUAACACGUGGAUAACCUACCUAUAAGACUGGGAUAACUUCGGGAAACCGGAGCUAAUACCGGAUAAUAUAUUGAACCGCAUGGUUCAAUAGUGAAAGACGGUUUUGCUGUCACUUAUAGAUGGAUCCGCGCCGCAUUAGCUAGUUGGUAAGGUAACGGCUUACCAAGGCAACGAUGCGUAGCCGACCUGAGAGGGUGAUCGGCCACACUGGAACUGAGACACGGUCCAGACUCCUACGGGAGGCAGCAGUAGGGAAUCUUCCGCAAUGGGCGAAAGCCUGACGGAGCAACGCCGCGUGAGUGAUGAAGGUCUUCGGAUCGUAAAACUCUGUUAUUAGGGAAGAACAAAUGUGUAAGUAACUAUGCAUGUCUUGACGGUACCUAAUCAGAAAGCCACGGCUAACUACGUGCCAGCAGCCGCGGUAAUACGUAGGUGGCAAGCGUUAUCCGGAAUUAUUGGGCGUAAAGCGCGCGUAGGCGGUUUUUUAAGUCUGAUGUGAAAGCCCACGGCUCAACCGUGGAGGGUCAUUGGAAACUGGAAAACUUGAGUGCAGAAGAGGAAAGUGGAAUUCCAUGUGUAGCGGUGAAAUGCGCAGAGAUAUGGAGGAACACCAGUGGCGAAGGCGACUUUCUGGUCUGUAACUGACGCUGAUGUGCGAAAGCGUGGGGAUCAAACAGGAUUAGAUACCCUGGUAGUCCACGCCGUAAACGAUGAGUGCUAAGUGUUAGGGGGUUUCCGCU
rnacentral:rRNA from 1 species